UGGGGAAUUUUGGACAAUGGGCGAAAGCCUGAUCCAGCAAUGCCGCGUGUGUGAAGAAGGCCUUCGGGUUGUAAAGCACUUUUGUCCGGAAAGAAAUCCUUGGCUCUAAUACAGUCGGGGGAUGACGGUACCGGAAGAAUAAGCACCGGCUAACUACGUGCCAGCAGCCGCGGUAAUACGUAGGGUGCAAGCGUUAAUCGGAAUUACUGGGCGUAAAGCGUGCGCAGGCGGUCCGCUAAGACAGAUGUGAAAUCCCCGGGCUUAACCUGGGAACUGCAUUUGUGACUGGCGGGCUAGAGUAUGGCAGAGGGGGGUAGAAUUCCACGUGUAGCAGUGAAAUGCGUAGAGAUGUGGAGGAAUACCGAUGGCGAAGGCAGCCCCCUGGGCCCAAUACUGACGCUCAUGCACGAAAGCGUGGGGGAGCAAACAGGAUUAGAUACCCUGGUAGUCCACGCCCUAAACGAUGUCAACUAGUUGUCGGGUCUUCAUUGACUU
rnacentral:rRNA from 1 species